AAAAGCUGAAAUGCAGAGAGGAGGGAAGAGAAAAAGUACGCUACAUCAGCAUGAAGUUAACGCUGUUACUGUCAACUUAACAGACAAGACCUUAUUCAUACAAUUUUCAUAGCAUAGGGACUCAAUGUCUUCAUUUUUAAAACCGGGUACUAAACAGAAAUUCACCUCUUAACAUGAGGACGAAGUAAGCAUUUAAGCCUACUUUUAAGCAUACAUAAACUAUUUGUACUCUAUCUCAAACAGACAAAUAAGAUAAGUAGAUCCACAUACACACACAUUAACACUCAAAUGUGGUGUCCAACACCAUACUUCUCAUGAAAAGAAUAUAUAAGCAUACAACUGAAAGUUAAAGAAAGAAAAAAAAAAGGAAAUGAACGAAAGAAAAAUAAAUAUAAGAAAAAAUAAGAUAGAUGUUAGGUCCAAAUUUUCACAAUAAUCCUGAGAUUGCUUCUAUGUGAAGGAUUUUUCAUGACUUGAGUCUCAGGUCAGGGUAUGAGGAAACCUUUCAAAAUGUGUUUUCUUUGUCGGGCUCAAGCCCCAAAUUUUAAUGUUGAUGUCGUGCUACAUGAAUUUGUUGUGAAAUGCU
rnacentral:lncRNA from 1 species